UUAGCAUAACAACAUUCUUUAAACAUGAACAGUCUCUUUCAUUUCUUUUUCUUCUUCUUUCUCCUCUUCACUUCUCAAAUUGUAUUACUUCACGCCAUCGACCGGCCACCGCCGGCCCGAUUUUCCGGUCCGUCGUCGGCGAGAAAACAUCAAGUUUUUCAACCUCAGGCAAGUGCUCCGUUUGCUCGAGACUUAGAGUCCGAUAAGAGGAGAGUGCCCACUGGACCAAAUCCUCUGCACAACAAGAAAAGAAAGGCUUGAAAUUACUAUUACUACUACUACUGGUUUAUCCGUUAGAGGUAUAUGAUAGACCCUGGUGGUCUAGCCUGCGCUGGACUGUCUUUUUUUAUAUGCCCGAGUUGGGUCAAUCGUAAACAAUCUCUCGCCCUUCAUAUGGUUGGAGUAAGAUCUGCGUCAUAUUAUUCUCCUUAUACCCCACUUGUGAGAUUAUACUAAGUUUAAUUUGUUAAUGUUGUUAUUGUAUAGGCUCGAGUGCUCACUUAUUUACCUUUUCUAGCAACAGUCCCCUUUAUUUUACCUAUAGCCAAAGAAUAUAUUAUUGCCUCCUACUAGUAUAUUUCCACGGAUAUACCACCUUUAAUUUGUAGCCUUA